AGUGUGAGCAGGUGCAGAGCUG
rnacentral:miRNA from 1 species